rnacentral:tRNA from 1 species
GCUUGUGUAGCUCAGAGGCAAGAGCCUAGGCGCGUCGGUUCGAGUCCGGCCACAAGCG